UGGGGAAUUUUGCACAAUGGGGGAAACCCUGAUGCAGCGACGCCGCGUGAUUUAGAAGGCCUUCGGGUUGUAAAAAUCUUUUUUACGGGAUGAAAAUGACAGUACCGUAAGAAUAAGGUCCGGCUAAAUACGUGCCAGCAGCCGCGGUAAUACGUAUGGACCGAGCGUUGUCCGGAAUCAUUGGGCGUAAAGGGUACGUAGGCGGCCUAGUAAGUUAGAAGUGAAAUAAUAUAGCUCAACUAUAUAAAGCUUUUAAAACUGCUAGGCUUGAGAGAUGGAAGGGAAAGUGGAAUUCCUUGUGUAGCGGUGAAAUGCGCAGAUAUUAGGAAGAAUACCGGUGGCGAAGGCGACUUUCUGGUCAUCAUCUGACGCUGAGGUACGAAAGCGUGGGUAGCAAACAGG
rnacentral:rRNA from 1 species